GUUAUCAUGGUGUUAUAUCAGUCCAUACAGACUGACGUUGGUGGUAUCACGGUGUUAUAUCAGUCCAUACACACUGAUGUUGGUGUUAUCACGGUGUUAUAUCAAUGGGCACAGACUGACACUGGUGUUAUCACAGCAUUAUAGCAGUCCAUACACACUGAUGUUGGUGUUAUGAUGUUAUAUCAGUGGGUACAGACUGACAUUGGUGUUAUCACAGCGUUAUAUCAGUCCAUACACACUGAUGUUGGUGUUAUCACGGUGUUAUAUCAAUGGGCACAGACUGACAUUGGUGUUAUCACAGCGUUAUAUCAGUCCAUACACACUGAUGUUGGUGUUAUGAUGUUAUAUCAGUGGGUACAGACUGACAUUGGUGUUAUCACAGCGUUAUAUCAGUCCAUACACACUGAUGUUGGUGUUAUCACGGUGUUAUAUCAAUGGGCACAGACUGACAUUGGUGUUAUCACAGCAUUAUAGCAGUCCAUACACACUGAUGUUGGUGUUAUGAUGUUAUAUCAGUGGGUACAGACUGACAUUGGUGUUAUCACACUGUUAUGUCAGUCCAUACACACCAAUGCUGGUCUCUGU
rnacentral:lncRNA from 7 species